AGAAUAGGCGGAACCCAAAUACUUGAUGGCAUUUUUGAGCAGUUGCACUUGCCCUGGAUGAUCCAUCCCUGAACUUUGUGCCAUGAUAGAAAAUCAGCUGGAAUCUGAAGCUCUUGAUUUUGAGAAGAGAGGCCAGGAAACAGGCCACGAGUACCAACCACGGAAGCCAUGUGCGGUUGAACUACUGACCUGGUUCCCCGCACCCCAUGUGAACGGCUCUCUGUGCUGCUGGAAUCUAUUGAGGGUUCUAUACUUCUGUUUCUAGCAGCUUUAUUGAGUGGCUGCAACAACUCAGAUUCCAGCACGUGCAGAAGGGAUACAUCAUUGUGAGGCAGGUGAGUUGGGAUCCCAUUGUGGUUUUGCAAAUCCCUGAUGAUUAGUGAUGUUGAGCACCUCUUCUUGUGCCUGUUGGCCGUUUGUAUGCUGCCUCUGGAAGGAAAAAAUGACUAUUUUUUUUUAACCUAGGGAAGUUAGCUAUUUUUCAUUAAUUGAUUAAUCCUCAUGUGUAUAUGUUUUCUUUAAGAUUGUAUAAAUUUUUACAUUUACUAUU